GUUCUACAGUGGUGUCUAUGUUUAAGUGCCAGGCAGUGAGAACCCAGGAGUGAUAUUCAGAGGUACAAAGGAUUACCUGCAGGUGUUUGCAGCCGUGCCAGUCUUGUUCACCAUGGGAUGGAAGAGGUCCCUGACCUGUGAGCCUAGAGGUGACCAGGUGCUCCAUUCUGAGACUGAGAGAGGCAGGAUGCCCACUCAAGGGUCCAUAGCAGGGAAGGUUUUCAAGCUAUGUACAGUGCUGGAAAAGCCUACACAGGGCAUACAGUUAGCAGUGAUGUGUUUGCAGGGAGUCCAAGGAACCAGCUUUGUACUGAUGCAGGCCUGUCACCAGUGUCUUGGCGUUUGUGGGACUCAUCCACAGAGGCAUGCAACUCAGAGAACUGCACCCCAACUUGGUGCACAGGAACUCUUUCAGGUGUCACUUGAUUGUCUC
ensembl:lncRNA